CACUUUAUACAGCGAAACUGCGUACAGCUCAUUACAUCAGUUAUNNNNNNNNNGAAGGUUAACAAAUUACAUGGGAUACCUAUGGUAACUCCAGAGCUAAUACAUGCGUCAAGUCUUGACUAGGGUUACACCUGGGAGAGAUGUAUUUAUUAGAUUCCAGCCUACUCGUUUGCGGGGCAACUCGUAAGCGUUUUGGUGAUUCAUGGUAACUGUUUCGGAUCAAUGUCGCAAGACAUUCGAUAGUUCAUUCAAAUUUCUGCCCUAUCAGCUUUGGAUGGUAGUGUAGUGGACUACCAUGGCAUUUACGGGUAACGGGGAAUUAGGGUUCGGUUCCGGAGAGGCAGCCUGAAAUAACCCCACUGAGCUGUUAAGCGAAGUGGGGGCUUAAGUCUCUUACGGUAAUAUUCUAUUCAAAACGGGCAAGUGAAAGGGUUUACAAAACCUUUUGCUAGUUGCAACCAUGAAUCGCAGCAGCGACACCAUCAAAUUGUUCCGGAAGUCCCUUACUUGACUAGUUCUUUGUGACCGCGGCGUUGUUGGGUAAAUCCACACGUGCAGCAGAUGGCGUAAUGGCCAUUGGAUGGUAAUACAACAAAAGAAUGAACAAGGGUAACCGGCAGCCAAGCGAGCGUGUAUUUAUUCGUCGAUUCGUCGAGUAAUCACAAGCCGUGCAGUUCACAGACUAGAUGUUGGUGGGUUUUCUCUUACUAGUUAAGAGAAAGCUUAAGAUAUAGUCGGCCCCCCAGGGUAAACUUGGGCUUUCGAGAGGAUCUUGCUUUGUGCGAUUUACUAUUCAAACAAUAUUACGAAGCAAGGGAGAGCUCGAAAGAAAUGCCUACUACUCUCGAAGUAGUAAGUAUUUGGAUCAGCGGAGAAACGGCUACCACAUCCAAGGAAGGCAGCAGGCCGCAAAUUACCCACUCUUGACACAAGGAGGUAGUGACAAGAAAUGCUGAUGCCAGACGCCUUUGUGUGUUUGGUAAUCGGAAUGAGAGGGUUAAAUCUAGUACUCGAAAGCAACUGGAGGGCAAGUCUGGUGAAUGACUAUUGACUAAUGGAGCGUUAGCGACAUCAGUCAUUAGGAGCGACAAAUUCAGUGUGUGUUGUAACUAAUGACACAUGCUUAAUGCUGACGCCAGAAAUAGAGAGGCCUCUUCCAAUACAUGGUGCCAUUUUCUUAGUCCGAACAACACGGAAUAUCAUUUGUCCUUAUGAUAACAUCUCUAGUCCGAGUCUUUUGGCUGAAACCAUUCUCUUAGAUUCAUUAGCCGAAUUCAUUCUNNNGCAGNNUACGGUAAUUCCAGCUCCAGUAGCGUAUAUUAAAAUUGUUGCAGUUAAAAAGCUCGUAGUUGGAUUUUUGUUGUGGUUUUCGUGCUGGCUCCAUGGGUGGACUUGUGCCAUUCAUGUGAGCUGGUACACACGACAUUUGGAGGUAAGCGCGUAANNUGAAAACUAAUACGCAGCUUCCCCACAUACUUUGAGAAAAUUAAAGUGUUCCAAGCAGGCUCUUUUAGAGUUGCCAUGAAUACUACAGCAUGGAAUAAAACCAUCGGAUCUUUGUUCCGUUGGUGGGCUCGUUGAACAAAGUCAUGAUCGAUAUUGGACGAUGGGGGUGCUUGUAUUCCUGGAGCAGAGGUGAAAUUCUUGGACCCCAGGAAGACAAACAACAGCGAAAGCAUUCNCCAAAUAGUCCCAAAUUAAUCAAGAACGAAAGUUGAGGGAUCGAAGACAAUCAGAUACUGUCGUAGUCUCAACCAUAAACGUUUGUAUUUUGGGGUGAGUGAGAUCUGUUCUGUUUGGACAAGUACUUCGCAAGAAGCAACUGUCUGGCAGUAUUGGAGUCCUCGAACCAUGUGGAAAACCAAAAAUACGUCCAAUAUUAUCGCAAGAUAGAAACUUAAAGGCAUUGACGGAAGGAAACACCAGGAGUGGAGCCUGCGGCUUAAAUUGACUCAACACGAGAAAUCUCACCAGGCCCGGACAUAUUGAGGAUUGACAGCCUGAAGCGCUUUCUUGAUUAUGUGGAAGGUGGUGCAUGGCCGCUCUUGGCUGGUGGUGUGGAUUGUCUGGUUAAUUCCGUUAACGAGCGAGNCGUUGUGGGUGCUCCCGAAUGGGAGUGUUUGAUAAAUAGAUGGUUGCGCUUCCCUUGUGGUGCGUAUCUGGUCAUCUUCUUAGCCCGACAAUUGCUGUGUAAGCAAUGGAAGUUCAACGCAAUAGCAGGUCCGUGAUGCCCUUAGAUGUUCUGGGCCGCACGCGCGCUACACUGUUUGUACUAGCGUGUUUUACAGCUUGUUGGAUCUUCAUCGGUCCCAACAUGACCUUGGUCGAGAGACCUGGGAAAUCAUUCAAAUACAGACGUGCUAGGGAUUGUCGAUUGCAAUUAUUCGACAUAAACGAGGAAUUCCUUGUAAGCGCACGUCAUCAGCGUGCAUUGACUACGUCCCUUUCCUUUGUACACACCGCCCGUCGCUGCUNCCGAUUGGAUGUUUUA
rnacentral:rRNA from 1 species